CGGCGGAGUCGCUGGCUGCGGAUCGCCUGCUUUUCCUGCUGCUCCAUGCGGAAGAACGAGUCGAUCCGGAGCUGAGUCUAAACCAAAACAGAGACAGAUGAGGUGUAAGUGAUGCAAGACUACAAGAGCGGAUCCAACUGCUGAAGGACUGCAUCUGCACUUCCUGGCUAUCUGGCGGAAGCUGUACCCUUCCUGACUGAGAAUCUGUGUCUUCAGAGGUUAGGAGAGUCUCGCAGUUACCUGCUGGGUGUUGAGCUGCUUGAUGACAGGCUGAAGAGUCUCCUCUGUUUUCCGGCUGCUCCAGCCAAAGCGACUCAGACAGAACGUAAAAUGCUGGUUAAAGAAACUUCAUACGUUCAUGAAGACACAGACAACCCCAGACGCACAGUGCAAGGAUAUUCUUUGAUCAUGUCGAGCUGUGGGCGUCCCCAGCUGAAGGAGCU